GCUGAGUGCGGUGGCACGUGCCUGUAGUCCCAGCUGCUUGGGAGGCUGAGGUGGAAGGAUCGCUUGAGUCUAGGAGUUCUGGGCUGUAGUGUGCUGUGCCAAUCGGUGUCGCACGAAGUUCAGCAUCAAUAGGGUGACCUCCUGGGAGCGGUGGACCACCAGGUUGCCUAAGGAGGGGUGAACUGGCCCAGGUAGGAAAUGGAGCAGGUGAAAACUCUGGUGCUGAUCAGUAGUGGGAUCGCGCCUGUGAAUGGCCACUGCACUUCAGCCUGGGCAACACAGAAAGACCCUGUCUCU
rnacentral:SRP_RNA from 1 species